GGAAAUUUCAUUGAAAGCUGAAAUAAAAGUAACUUUGACUCCAUUGCUUUUGGGACAUUAUAAAUUUCGGUGACUAUGAAUCAGGGCAUGUAUAUUAUUUUGGUUUCAGGCUUUCAACUUUCAACAUAAACUAGGAGAUGGCUCGGACCAGUCUUUCUUCAAUAUCAAUACCUUUUCUUAUUCUGGUGAUAAUAGCCUUUACUUUCUUUGCACAGCUAGCUCCAGUUAGUGCAGAUCUGAAAAUGAGAAAACUUGGUCCCAUGCCAAGUCCACCUCCUCCACCUAGGAAAUCUCCUGGACCUGGACCAAGUCGACGCAAAACCGCCGCUCCUCCACCCAUGUUAAUUAAUUAAAAAAUGUGUUAAAAAAUGUAUUGAUAGUACUCCGCUAAUUAAUUUCUAACAUUGAGGUAUAGUUAGUUAAAUGCAUGUUUGGAUUCUCAUUUGUGAUCCAUGUUUUAACUGAUUUCCACAUUGCAACGCACCAAAAGUAACUACUUGUUUGCUUUGGUGAUGUGCGUCUGACCCCAACAAAUGGAAUCCAACAUGGUAAGAACCCUGCCAUUCAAUAAUUUUUCGUGGUACUUGAUCCUAAAAUGUUACAAUGGACCUCAAGCUUUGAUUCUUACUUUGUUUAUAUAGCUUUACUGUAUUAGGUUUCA